rnacentral:rRNA from 1 species
AUUGAACGCUGGCGGAAUGCUUUACACAUGCAAGUCGAACGGCAGCACGGGGGCAACCCUGGUGGCGAGUGGCGAACGGGUGAGUAAUACAUCGGAACGUGCCCGGCCGUGGGGGAUAACGUAGCGAAAGUUACGCUAAUACCGCAUACGAUCUGAGGAUGAAAGCGGGGGACCUUCGGGCCUCGCGCGAUCGGAGCGGCCGAUGUCAGAUUAGGUAGUUGGUGGGGUAAAGGCCUACCAAGCCGACGAUCUGUAGCUGGUCUGAGAGGACGACCAGCCACACUGGGACUGAGACACGGCCCAGACUCCUACGGGAGGCAGCAGUGGGGAAUUUUGGACAAUGGGCGCAAGCCUGAUCCAGCCAUUCCGCGUGCAGGACGAAGGCCUUCGGGUUGUAAACUGCUUUUGUAUGGAACGAAAAGGCUCUGGCUAAUACCUGGGGCUCAUGACGGUACCGUAAGAAUAAGCACCGGCUAACUACGUG